rnacentral:rRNA from 1 species
UGGGGAAUAUUGCACAAUGGGCGCAAGCCUGAUGCAGCCAUGCCGCGUGUGUGAAGAAGGCCUUCGGGUUGUAAAGCACUUUCAGCGGGGAGGAAGGCGGUGAGGUUAAUAACCUCAUCGAUUGACGUUACCCGCAGAAGAAGCACCGGCUAACUCCGUGCCAGCAGCCGCGGUAAUACGGAGGGUGCAAGCGUUAAUCGGAAUUACUGGGCGUAAAGCGCACGCAGGCGGUCUGUCAAGUCGGAUGUGAAAUCCCCGGGCUCAACCUGGGAACUGCAUUCGAAACUGGCAGGCUAGAGUCUUGUAGAGGGGGGUAGAAUUCCAGGUGUAGCGAUGAAAUGCGUAGAGAUGUGGAGGAAUACCGGUGGCGAAGGCGGCCCCCUGGACAAAGACUGACGCUCAGGUGCGAAAGCGUGGGGAGCAAACAGG